UACGUAGGGAGCGAGCGUUGUCCGAAGUUACUGGGCGUAAAGCGCGCGUAGGCGGGUUUGAAAGUCGGAGGUGAAAUGCUGGGGCUCAACUCCAUGCAGUGCCUCCGAUACUUCAAGUCUUGAGUGCGGUAGGGAGAAGUGGAAUGGCUGGUGUAAGCGGUGAAAUGCGUAGAUAUCAGGAGGAACACCGGUGGCGAAGGCGGGUCUCUGGGCCGUAACUGGACGCUGAGGAGCGAAAGCGUGGGGAGCGAACAGGA
rnacentral:rRNA from 1 species